rnacentral:lncRNA from 1 species
CUCGGGGGCCGAGAGCUUUGCGAGCUGACCCCGCUUCCUUCUGGCUUUGCAGAACUUGGACCACGGGAAGGCCUGGGGCAUCCUGACCUUCAAAGCAAGUGUGUGCAGACGCCUCUUUUUCUUCAUCAGGGAAGACUGAGAGCGAGGCGCGGGAGAUCGAACACGUCAUGUACCAUGACUGGCGGCUGGUGCCCAAGCACGAGGAGGAGGCCUUCACCGCGUUCACGCCGGCGCCGGAAGACAGCCUGGCCUCCGUGCCGUACCCGCCUCUCCUCCGGGCCAUGAUUAUCGCAGAACGACAGAAAAAUGGAGACACAAGCACCGAGGAGCCCAUGCUGAAUGUGCAGAGGAUACGCAUGGAACCCUGGGAUUACCCUGCAAAACAGGAAGACAAAGGAAGGGCCAAGGGCACCCCCGUCUAGAAUGCCAGAACCAGCGGGUGGCCUUAGGGGCUGUGAGGCAGUGGGGACCUUAUUGAUGAAAGAAACCGUCUUUGCGUUACACCCGAGUCUGCCUCUCGGAGCAGGGAGCUCACCUUCCGCGACGUGUUCUGAGGGUCUGCAUCUUAGGGGGGAGGGCUGGGGCAAAUCGCCACCUGUGCCUUUCCUCUGGCCCUGCUGCCCCCACACCCAACUCCGAGGGCCCACGCUGGGGAAAGCGGGAAGCGCUCGCUCCCUUUCCCCCAUUAGUGCUCUCUCUGCCUGGAUCCCGGCAGAAGCUAUGAAAGGGAAUAAAGAGAAAAGAAGU